rnacentral:lncRNA from 1 species
CUACAAAGGAGAAAAUUAACCCCUUGGGUCUCAGAUUAGGUACCUGUCUUAUGGGACUGUGGCUGACAGAAGCUGAUGCUGAUACUGGAGACAAAAGAAUCUGAGGAACUCAUCAUUUUUAUGCAGGGCCAUUUCCCAGCAGCCUGCCAUCCAUUCUUAGUAACAGGAUUUGUGAGCAGGAGAUGAGCUUACCAGGGAACACGGAGCAGGAGAAGAAAGUUAACUCACCGGUCACUGAAGACACUGAC